rnacentral:tRNA from 1 species
UGGCUCAGAGGUAAAAGAAUCUGCCUGCAAUGCAGAAGACUAGGGUUCGAUCCCUA